rnacentral:rRNA from 1 species
AUUGAACGCUGGCGGCAGGCCUAACACAUGCAAGUCGAGCGAGCGGCGGACGGGUGAGUAAUGUCUGGGAAACUGCCUGAUGGAGGGGGAUAACUACUGGAAACGGUAGCUAAUACCGCAUACCAUCAGAUGUGCCCAGAUGGGAUUGGCUAGUAGGUGGGGUAACGGCUUACCUAGGCGACGAACGCUAGCUGGUCUGAGAGGAUGACCAGACACACUGGACCUGAGACACGGGCCAGACUCCUACGGGAGGCAGAAGUGGGGAAUAGUGCAAAAUGGGCGCAAUCCUGAUGCAGCCAUGCCGCGUGUGUGAAGAAGGCCUUCGGGUUGUAAAGCACUUUCAGCGGGGAGGCGUUACCCGCAGAAGAAGCACCGGCUAACUCCGUGCCAGCAGCCGCGGUAAUUC